GGUGUGGAUGCAUAACAUUUCUUAUUUCUCCAGGAUUACCCUGCUUAAGUUGUCUGAUCUUUAAGCACUUACAAAGGAAAAAGGUCCACUAAUGCAAUUUCACUGUCAUUGUUUCCAGAGCUAUUGAACUGCAAACCCUGCGUGUGAGGCAACUGAUGUGUGAGCACCUCAUCUGGAAACCUAUUUUUAAGGAAAAUAUUUCAGGAGCCCUGGAGAUUACAGAUCAUCAUUUUGGAACUGCAAACUCUGUUCAUCUCAAAACAUCAAAACCAAUCCAACACAUCAGCAGAAAUCACGCAGUGAUUCCUCAGUGUGUUUACAGAGAGAACAUGAUGCUCAUGCUAAGAAAACCAAAGAGAAUUUAA
rnacentral:lncRNA from 1 species